rnacentral:lncRNA from 1 species
GUGAAAGUCCUUUUCCUGGCUCAUCCUGGCUCAAAAAGCACCCCCACUGAGCACCUUGCGACCCCCACUCCUGCCCACCAGAGAACAAACCCCCUUUGACUGUAAUUUUCCUUUACCUGCCCAAAUCUUAUAAAACAGCCCCACCCCUAUCUCCCUUCGCUGACUGUCUUUUUGGACUCAGCCCGCCUGCACCCAGGUGAAAUAAACAGCCAUGUUGCUCACACAAAGCCUGUUUGGUGGUCUCUUCACACGGACGCUCAUGAAAUUUGGUGAUGUGACUCGGAUAGGGGGACCUCCCUUGGGAGAUCAGUACCCUGUCCUCCUGCUCUUUGCUCCGUGAGAAAGAUCCACCUACAACCUCAGGUCCUUAGACCAACCAGCCCAAGAAACAUCUCACCAAUUUCAAAUCCAGACCCCACUGGAAAUCGGACUGUCCAACUCACCUGACAGCCACUCCCACAGCCGCUGGAACUCUGGCCCAAGGCUCUCUGACUCCUUCCCAGAUCUUCUUGGCUUAGCGGCUGAAGACUGACGCUGCCCGAUCGCCUCGGAAGCCCCCUAGACCAUCACGGACGCCGAGCUUCGGGUAACUCUCACAGUGGAAGGUAAGUCCGUCCUCUUCUUAAUCAAUAUGGAGGCUACCCACUCCACAUUACCUUCUUUUCAAGGGCCUGUUUCCCUUGCCUCCAUAACUGUUGUGGGUAUUGACAGCCAGGUUGCUAAACCUCUUAAAACUCCCCAACUCUCGUGCCAACUUAGACAAUACUCUUUUAAGCACUCCUUUUAGUUAUCCCCACCUGCCCAGUUCCCUUAUUAGGCCGAGACACUUUAACUAAAUUAUCUGCUUCCCUGACUAUUCCUGGAUUAUAGCUACAUCUCAUUGCUGCCUUCCUUCCCAAUCCAAAGCCUCCUUUGUGUCCUCCUCUUGUAUUCCCCCACCUUAACCCACAAGUAUAAGAUACCUCUACUCCCUCCUUGGUGACCAAUCAUGCACCCCUUACCAUCUCAUUAAAACCUAAUCACCCUUACCCUGCUCAACGCCAAUAUCCCAUCCCACAGCAUGCUUUGAAAGGAUUAAAGCCUGUUAUCACUCGCCUGCUACAGCAUGGUCUUUUAUAGCCUAUAAACUCUCCUUAUCAUUCCCCCAUUUUACCUGUCCUAAAACCAGACAAGCCUUACAAGUUAGUUCAGGAUCUAUGCUUUAUCAACCAAAUUGUUUUGCCUAUCCACCCCAUGGUGCCAAACCCAUAUACUCUCCUAUACUCAAUACCUCCCUCCACAACCCAUUAUUCUGUUCUGGAUCUCAAACAUGCUUUCUUUACUAUUCCUUUGCACCCAUCAUCCCAGCCUCUCCUCGCUUUCACUUGGACUGACCCUGACACCCAUCAGGCUCAGCAAAUUACCUGGGCUGUACUGCCGCAAAGCUUCACAGGCAGCCCCCAUUACUUCAGUCAAGCCUAAAUUUCUUCCUUAACUGUUACCUAUCUCAGCAUAAUUCUCAUAAAAACACACGUGCUCUCCCUGCUGAUCGAGUCCAAUUAAUCUCCCAAACCUCAAUCCCUUACAAAACCACUCCUUUCCUUCCUAGGCAUGGUUAGUGCAGUCAGAAUUCUUACACAAGAGCCAGGACC